rnacentral:lncRNA from 1 species
UAUCAUAUAAGCAACAUAUAGGGCAUGUAUCGAACAUCAUAUAAGAGCAACACAACAAAUAGGCUACGUUCCAAUACAUACACAUAGUUUCAAUCAUCAUACAUACACAUACUUAUCGUAUCUCCAUAGAUACACAUAGUUUCACAUUGUUUAUCAAUACAAAUCGAAACAGAAAGUAAAUAGUAGCAAUCCAUCAAUGCUGGCUUCCAUGAAUGCCAGCUUCCAUGAAGUGAAUCAAAUCUGCAAAAUGAAAACAAGAAAGUUAGAAGAAGAAGAAGAAGAAACUAGAAGAAGAAGAANNNNNAGAAGAAGAAGAAGAAAACUAGAAGAAGAAGAACAAGAAGAACACUAAAACAACAACAACAAGAAGAAGAAAACUAGAAGAAGAAGAAGACUAGAAGAAGGAGAAGGAGAAGGAGAAGAUGAUUAUUUAUCUUAUUUUGAGCUUAUUAUGUUAUUUUGGAGGGAGAUACGCUAAGUUAUGAGAUAACCAUGGUUCUUGUGCUAUUUUUGCCCUAACUAAGCUAAUUAUGUUAUAAAUGAACUAAAUAAGCUAAUUAUGUCAUUUUGGAGGAUAAUUAGCGAAGUAUGUCAUUUUGGAGAAUAAAACUACAAGAAGAAGAAGGAGGAGAAGAACAAGACUAGAAUAAGAAGAAGAAGAAGAAGAAGAAGGAGAUGAAGGAGAAGAAGGAGGAGGAGGAGGAGAAGAAGGAGAAGAAGGAGGAGAAGGAUAAGAAGGAUGCGAGAAAGAAGAAGAAGGAGAAGAUGAUUACUUAUCUUAUUUUGAGCUUAUUAUGUUAUUUUGGAGGGAGAUACGCUAAGUUAUGAGCUAACCAAGGUUCUGGUGCUAUUUUUGACCUAACUAAGCGAAUUAUGUCAUAAAUGAACUAAAUAAGCUAAGUAUGUCGUUUUGGAGGAUAAUUAGCUAAGUAUGUCAUUUUGGAGAAUAAAACUAGAAGAAGAAGAAGAAGAUCAAGACUAGAAGAAGAAGAAGAAGAAGAAGAAGGAGGAGGAGGAGGAGGAGGAGGAGAAGGAGAAGAAGGAGGAGAAGGAGAAUAAAGUUGAGAAAAAGAAGGAGCAGAACAAGGAGAAGAUGAUUACUUAUCUCAUUUUGAGAUUAUUAUGACAUUUUGGAGGGGGGUACGCUAAGCUAUGGGAUAACCAAGGUUCUUGUGCUAUUUUUGACCUAACUAAGCUAAUUAUGUCAUAAAUGAACUAAAUAAGCUAAGUAUGUCAUUUUGGAGGAUAAUUAGCUAAGUAUGUCAUUUUUGGAGAAUAAAACGAGAAGAAGGAGAAGAACAAGACUAGAAGAAGAAGAAGAAGAAGAAGAAGGAGAAGAAGAAGGUGAAGAUGAUUACUUAUCUUAUUUUGAGCUUAUUAUGUCAUUUUGGAGGAGGAUACGCUUAGUUAUGAGCUAACCAAGGUUCUUGUGCUAUUUUUGACCUAACUAAGCUAAUUAUGUCAUUUUGGAGGAUAAUUAUCUAAGUAUGUCAUUUU